GACGUAGGGCGCGAGCGUUGUCCGGAUUUAUUGGGCGUAAAGAGCUCGUAGGCGGCUUGUCGCGUCGUUCGUGAAAACCCGGGGCUCAACUCCGGGCUUGCGGGCGAUACGGGCAGGCUAGAGUUCGGUAGGGGAGACUGGAAUUCCUGGUGUAGCGGUGAAAUGCGCAGAUAUCAGGAGGAACACCGGUGGCGAAGGCGGGUCUCUGGGCCGAUACUGACGCUGAGGAGCGAAAGCGUGGGGAGCGAUCCGG
rnacentral:rRNA from 1 species